UGAGACUACUUCAGCUCACUUCAGGUAUUAGCGCAGCUAACCUAUACAUGUCUCUAUUAUAUGUAAAAAUCAAAACAAAUUUUGGAAUGGAAAAGAAAUUUGAUCACAACGUGAGCAGAAACUUCCAAAAUGCCUCCUAAAAAGAAUGCAAAUGCUUCAAACUCAAAUAAGUCUAAAAAGGCAGAAGGUAGUAGUGAAAAAGGUGAAAAGAAAGGAAAAAAUGCAGUAAAAGUUAGACAUAUUCUGUGUGAAAAACAAUCAAAGAUUUUAGAAGCAUUGGAGAAACUAAAAACUGGACAAAAGUUUAACGAAGUUGCAGCUACAUAUAGUGAAGACAAAGCAAGAUCUGGGGGUGAUCUUGGAUGGAUGACAAGAGGAUCAAUGGUUGGUCCAUUUCAGGAAGCUGCAUUUGCACUACCUAUAUCUAGUAUUGGGGCUCCAGUUUAUACAGAUCCACCAGUUAAAACGAAAUUUGGUUAUCACAUUAUAAUGGUAGAAGGUUUCAAAUAAGUAAUCUAUAGACCAAUCAUUCUGAGAACGAUCGGUAGUUGGAGCUAAUUUUUGUAACUCUGCAGUCCAGAACCAACCAUUAAUAUGAAGUGGCUGAAGAUCAGGUCUAUCGCACCCUUUGAAAUCACAAAGGCGACCAGAUGUCCAAAUAUAUUUUACAUUAUCUAGAAGUAAUAAUUCUUUUUUAUGUCUCUAAGGAAACAAGGUCCAUACAUCUUUGUCUACAAAAAUUCCUUCCUGAUAGCCAAUCAACUUCCUGUCCACUUGUUCUUGGAUCAGCCCACGAAUAAUAGUAACCCUUGCCAUUAAAACGUUCAUGAAUAACUCCUAAAAUAUCACAAUUUAUAUAGUUUCAAUUUUUUACUAUGCAUAUAAUUAUAUUUAAUAUUCAAUUGAAUUUUUGACAGUACAAUGUGGAUUUAUUUAUUGCAAAAAAAAUCAUCUCAGAUUUAAUAUUUGGAUAGUGUAAAAAUAUAUCACUUACUUUGUGCACAAAGGGCAGGAAUUGGUGGUUCCAAGAUCCUUCCAGACGGUUGGAACUGAGCCGCCGAUAAAGCAAUAAGUAUUCCAAGAAUAAUAAAUCGCAACAUUUUGCUUCAAACUAUAUUUUAAUUGAAAUAUAGAUAUUAAAUACUGCAAUGUGUAAAUGGAAGAAUAAAAAAUAAUACAAAAUAUUGAUAUUAA